UACAGCCACAUCAUGUUGAAACACCAGUUCUCGUAUGAUCACCGAAGUUAAGCAAAUGUUGAGCCUGGUCAGUACCUAGAUAGAUGACUGCAUGGGAAUACCAGUUGCUAU